rnacentral:tRNA from 1 species
GCCCUCGUGGCGCAACUGGAUAGCGCAACGGAUUCCUAAUCCGUAGGUUGCAGGUUCAAGUCCUGUCGAGGGCA